rnacentral:rRNA from 1 species
GUGGGGAAUCUUAGACAAUGGGCGCAAGCCUGAUCUAGCCAUGCCGCGUGAGCGAUGAAGGCCUUAGGGUUGUAAAGCUCUUUCGCUGGGGAAGAUAAUGACUGUACCCAGUAAAGAAGCCCCGGCUAACUCCGUGCCAGCAGCCGCGGUAAUACGGAGGGGGCUAGCGUUGUUCGGAAUUACUGGGCGUAAAGCGCGCGUAGGCGGAUUGGAAAGUUGGGGGUGAAAUCCCGGGGCUCAACCUCGGAACUGCCUUCAAAACUCCCAGUCUUGAGUUCGAGAGAGGUGAGUGGAAUUCCGAGUGUAGAGGUGAAAUUCGUAGAUAUUCGGAGGAACACCAGUGGCGAAGGCGGCUCACUGGCUCGAUACUGACGCUGAGGUGCGAAAGCGUGGGGAGCAAAAAGGAUUAGAAACCCGGGUAGUCC